rnacentral:lncRNA from 1 species
AGGGGAAGCUGGGAGUCGCCGAGCAUCGGGAGCUGGAGUGAUCAGGAACAGCCAUUUGUGGGCAUCAGGGACGUGAGCUCUUCCCGACUACUCAACACACAACCACUGGGUGUUUCUGAACCUCAGUGUCCUCGCUUGGAAAGCUGGUAGAAGAAUCUUGCAUUGCCUCCCUCCUGGAUGAUUGAAAAAUUUUAUGGGUGCAUAGACCAAGAGAAGUGCAGUUACCAUUUAAUGUUACCACCCUAAAAAGAAAGAAAGAAACAAAAAACAAAGGUCACUUUACUACUUGAACCUAGUAGUUUGAGGCCAGCUUGGGCAUCAAGUAGAAAGCCCCGUUAAGCAACCAACCAACCAACCAACCAACCUUUGGGUCAAAGAUGCCUUCACAAAUAGAAAGGACAGGAAAAAUGUGAGUUCUAUUUUUUCUUUUAGUUAUAGUUAGUUAAAAUGUGUGUGUAGAUCAGAGGCCAACUUGCUGGGAGGCAGUUCUACCAUGUGAGUCCCUUAGGUGGAACUCGAGUAACCAGGCAUGGUGACGGCACCUUUAUCCAGCCAUCUUGCCAGUCCUGUGUGAUUUAAUACACAUAUCUUUGGUUGGUUUUGUUUUUUUUUUUUGUUUGUUACUUUUUUUUUUUUUUAAGAUUUAUUUAUUUAUUUAUUACAUGUAAGUACACUGUAGCUGUCUUCAGACCCUCCAGAAGAGGGAGUCAGAUCUCAUUACGGAUGGUUGUGAGCCACCAUGUGGUUGCUGGGACUUGAACUUCGGACCUUCGGAAGAGCAGUCGGGUACUCUUACCCACUGAGCCAUCUCACCAGCCCCAUUUGUUACUUUUUAAGUAACUACAUAAACUACUUUUAUUUUGCUGAAUGGGGACAGAAGGCAAAGCUCUCUACCAGUGAACUCCACGGGCCUUGUAAAAACCAUCCUAAGCACGGACUGUUUAGAAGAAGUUUAGAAGGCUGGCAACAUGGCUUAGCAGGUAAAAGUGUUGUUUGCAGGCCUGAUGACCUGAGUUGGCUACCAUGGCAUAAUCAAAUAUGCCGUUGCACACAUAGACAACACAGUACACACAAGAUGAGUGUAAAAACAAUUUAUAGAAAAGUUUGGGGAAAGUUAGUGCACAUUUGUAAAGCCAGCAGUCUGGAGGCAGAAGCAGGUGCAUGCUCGCUAGUCUUUUUCUCUCAACUUGACAUGAGCUAGAGUUACCCGAAAGGGGGGAACCACAAUUGAGAAAAUGCCUUCAUAAGAUCCUGCUGUAAGGCAUUUUCUUAAUAAGUGAUUGAUGGGGGAGGGCCUGUCAGCUGGUGGUCCUGGAUUCUAUUAUAAAGCAGGCUGAACAAGCCAGGGGAAGCGAGCCCAGCAAGCAGCAUCCCUACCAUGCCUACCCCCAUGGCUUCUGCAUCAGCUCCUGCCUCCAGGAUUCUGCAGCGUUUGAGUUCCUGUCCUGACUUCCUUCAGUGAUAAACAGCAAUAUGGAAGCAUAAGCCAGAUAAACCCUUUCCACCCCAACUUGCUUUUUGGUCAUGGUGUUUCAUCUCAGCAAUAGAAACCCUAACUAGGACAAACCCUAAAAAAAAAAAUAAAUAAAUUAACAAACCAAGACAUGAGUUUGAGGCCAGUGUGGUCUACUUAGCAAAGGCAGAUACUGGGGCAGAUGAUGUCCAAAAAACAAAACAAAGAAGGUAUGAUGUAUGAAGAUUUUCCUCAGUCAUCUCUGGAACGUCCCUGUGAAACUAGUAGAGACCUCCAUGAGAAGGCCCCAGGAAGAGACGACUCUGGCUGCUGUGCUGACGCAUUUUAUAUCAGCUUGACACAAGCUAGAGUCAUUUGGAGACAGAAAAUGCUUCUGUUAGGUAAAUCUGUAAUGCACCCCCCUUUCUACAUUUUUAAUCAAAUAUAGUUAUCUUCAUACUAUUUCAAUUAUGGUUCUCUUUCCUCAUCUCCCAGUUCUUCCCCACCUCCCCACCCUUCAAACUCCACUCCUUUCUCACUCUCUUAAAAAAAAACAAAUAGGAUGGGCCUGGGGAGAUGGCUCAGUGGUUAAGAGCACUGGCUGUCCUUCCAGAUGUCCUGAGUUCAAAUUCCAGCAACCACAAGGUGGCUCACUCACAACCAUCUGUAAUGUGAGAUUUGGUUCCCUCUUCUGGAGUGUAGGCAAAACACUGUGUGCAUAGUAAGUAAGUCUAAAAAAAAAAAAAACCUGGAAAAUGAAGAUAAACAAGAAUAAAAUGAAAUGAACAGAUUAAUAAAAUUUAAGAGCACAAGAAAAACAGAGAGCGAGAGAGAGAGAACCCAUAAAAACUCAAAAUUGGAAACCUUACUAUACAAGCAAAAGACAAGUAAGGUUAAAAAAAGAAUAUAAGAAAACAAACAAAACCCAAAGCAUAACCAAACAAAGC